rnacentral:rRNA from 1 species
UUGACAUCCACGGAAGUUUUCAGAGAUGAGAAUGUGCCUUCGGGAACCGUGAGACAGGUGCUGCAUGGCUGUCGUCAGCUCGUGUUGUGAAAUGUUGGGUUAAGUCCCGCAACGAGCGCAACCCUUAUCCUUUGUUGCCAGCGAUUAGGUCGGGAACUCAAAGGAGACUGCCAGUGAUAAACUGGAGGAAGGUGGGGAUGACGUCAAGUCAUCAUGGCCCUUACGACCAGGGCUACACACGUGCUACAAUGGCGCAUACAAAGAGAAGCGACCUCGCGAGAGCAAGCGGACCUCAUAAAGUGCGUCGUAGUCCGGAUUGGAGUCUGCAACUCGACUCCAUGAAGUCGGAAUCGCUAGUAAUCGUGGAUCAGAAUGCCACGGUGAAUACGUUCCCGGGCCUUGUACACACCGCCCGUCACACCAUGGGAGUGGGUUGCAAAAGAAGUAGGUAGCUUAACCUUCGGGAGGGCGCUUACCACUUUGUGAUUCAUGACUGGGGUGAAGUCGUAACAAGGUAACCGUAGGGGAACCUGCGGUUGGAUCACCUCCUUACCU